UUGUGGAGCUUGUGAGGAGGAGCUGG
rnacentral:piRNA from 1 species